GAACAAAUUCCAGUGAGAGCUCUUCAAUGGAUCUCACAGACUCACUUCGCUUGCUUUGGUUCCACAAAAUCAACCACCGUUUACGUCUUUAUUGUACCAUUGACCGAUCAUCGCUUGUAAAUUGUACAGUAUAUCUUUCUUUAAAUCUGGGAAAUUGCUGCAAGAGCUGAUAGUACUUCUGGAAGGCAUUUCUGUGCACUAUUUUAAUGUGUAUUGCACCCUCCUGAAGGAAAUGAGAGGACAUGAGAUAUUAAACCUUCCUGGGUAGACAUCACAAUAGCCGCUGGACCCAUUCUCCUCAAACUUGGUCGCGCAAACAAAAUGACGGCAUUUUGGUGCUAUUUUCCAGAUCUCGCCAGGGCAAAGAAAAUCGAAGAUUUAACUGAAUCUAAUAUUUUUUUUCGCAGACAUAUUUUGAAGUAGAUUGGUUUUAGCAAAAAAAGAAUUGGGGGUUAUGGGUGCACUUUAAACUCAGAAUAUUUAGUUUCAUGAUAAGAGAGCUUCUAAGAACAUCACAUCUUACAAGUUUUAACUCAACAGGGUUCUUUGUUUUGUAGUAGAUCAUGUUUAAAUUUCUAAGCUUGCUUUCGCAUGGUGUGGCAUUAAAAUAGCAGCCUGAUGAAGCCGUCAUCUACAGUAGGUCAAAAGAGUCUUAUCUUUUAAGUUUUGCUAUUGGAACAGUCUUUGCAUUAAACAAAAUAUGAAAUAAGGAUCAAUAGGUGGGUUCAUACUAGCUUAGUAAGUAGACCUUUAGUAUACUUGAAUCUUACUUCAGAUGUGAACGGGUCCAAUUUCAACGUAAGUAGCCUACUUUGUGGUCGUGGCAACGCAUCUUUUUCAAAAGAGCCAAAGUGCACUUUCAAGUAUUUUUCAACCAUCCUUACUGGCGCACUUACGCACUAUCAAAACAAUUUCAGGAAAUUGAAUGUCAAUCAAAUGUAUUUUUCGAUGGCAUAUC